rnacentral:rRNA from 1 species
AUUGAACGCUGGCGGCAGGCCUAACACAUGCAAGUCGAGCGGAUGAGGCCUGCUUGCUCCUGGUUUCAGCGGCGGACGGGUGAGUAAUGCCUAUGAAUCUGCUUGCCAGUGGGUGAUAACGUCCGCAAACGGGCGCUAAUACCGCCUACGUCCUGAGGGAGCAAGUGGGGGAUCUUCGGACCUCACGCUCUCAGAUGAGCCUAGGCCGGAGUAGCUAGUUGGUGGGGUAAAGGCCUACCAAGCCGACGAUCCGCAACUGGUCUGAGAGGAGGAUCAGUCACACUGGAACUGAAACACGGUCCAGACUCCUACGGGAGGCAGCAGUGGGGAAUAGUAGACAAUGGGCGGAAGCCUGAUCCAGCCAUGCCGCGUGUGUGAAGAAGGUCUUCGGAGUGUAAAGCACUUUAAGGUGGGAGGAAGGGCAGUAAGUUAAUACCUUGCUGUUUUGACGGUACUAACAGAAUAAGCACCGGCUAACUUCGUG